GUAGGGAAUAUUGGGCAAUGGAGGCAACUCUGACCCAGCCAUGCCGCGUGCAGGAUGACGGCCCUCUGGGUUGUAAACUGCUUUUAUACGGGAAGAAAAAAUACUACGUGUAGUAUACUGACGGUACCGUAAGAAUAAGGAUCGGCUAACUCCGUGCCAGCAGCCGCGGUAAUACGGAGGAUCCAAGCGUUGUCCGGAUUUAUUGGGUUUAAAGGGUGCGUAGGCGGAUCUUUAAGUCAGUGGUGAAAGCCUGCAGCUUAACUGUAGAAUUGCCAUUGAAACUGAAGAUCUUGAAUGUGGUUAAAGUAGGCGGAAUGUAUCAUGUAGCGGUGAAAUGCUUAGAUAUGAUACAGAACACCGAUAGCGAAGGCAGCUUGCUGAACCAUUAUUGACGCUGAGGCACGAAAGCGUGGGGAGCGAACAGGAUUAGAAACCCUGGUAGUCC
rnacentral:rRNA from 1 species